rnacentral:rRNA from 1 species
CCUACGGGAGGCAGCAGUGGGGAAUCUUGCGCAAUGGGCGAAAGCCUGACGCAGCCAUGCCGCGUGGAUGAUGAAGGUCUUAGGAUUGUAAAAUCCUUUCACCGGUGAAGAUAAUGACUGUAGCCGGAGAAGAAGCCCCGGCUAACUUCGUGCCAGCAGCCGCGGUAAUACGAAGGGGGCUAGCGUUGCUCGGAAUUACUGGGCGUAAAGGGAGCGUAGGCGGACAUUUAAGUCAGAGGUGAAAUCCCGGAGCUUAACUUCGGAACUGCCUUUGAUACUGGGUGUCUUGAGUGUGAGAGAGGUAUGUGGAACUCCGAGUGUAGAGGUGAAAUUCGUAGAUAUUCGGAAGAACACCAGUGGCGAAGGCGACAUACUGGCUCAUUACUGACGCUGAGGCUCGAAAGCGUGGGGAGCAAACAGGAUUAGAUACCCUGGUAGUCCACGCCGUAAACGAUGAUGUNUAGUGUCGGUAGCGUGUCUCUCGUGACGC